UACAGAGGUCUCAACCGUUGUUCGGAUUCAUUGGGCGUAAAGGGUGCGUAGGCGGUCGCGUAAGUCGGAUGUGAAAUCCCAGGGCUCAACCCUGGAACUGCAUUCGAUACUGCGUGGCUCGGGUACUGGAGAGGAGACUGGAAUUUACGGUGUAGCAGUGAAAUGCGUAGAUAUCGUAAGGAAGACCAGUGGCGAAGGCGGGUCUCUGGGCCGAUACUGACGCUGAGGAGCGAAAGCGUGGGGAGCGAUCCGG
rnacentral:rRNA from 1 species